rnacentral:rRNA from 1 species
ACGCUAGCUACAGGCUUAACACAUGCAAGUCGAGGGGCAGCAUGGUCUUAGCUUGCUAAGGCCGAUGGCGACCGGCGCACGGGUGAGUAACACGUAUCCAACCUGCCGUCUACUCUUGGACAGCCUUCUGAAAGGAAGAUUAAUACAAGAUGGCAUCAUGAGUCUGCAUGUUCACAUGAUUAAAGGUAUUCCGGUAGACGAUGGGGAUGCGUUCCAUUAGAUAGUAGGCGGGGUAACGGCCCACCUAGUCUUCGAUGGAUAGGGGUUCUGAGAGGAAGGUCCCCCACAUUGGAACUGAGACACGGUCCAAACUCCUACGGGAGGCAGCAGUGAGGAAUAUUGGUCAAUGGGCGAGAGCCUGAACCAGCCAAGUAGCGUGAAGGAUGACUGCCCUAUGGGUUGUAAACUUCUUUUAUAAAGGAAUAAAGUCGGGUAUGGAUACCCGUUUGCAUGUACUUUAUGAAUAAGGAUCGGCUAACUCCGUGCCAGCAGCCGCGGUAAUACGGAGGAUCCGAGCGUUAUCCGGAUUUAUUGGGUUUAAAGGGAGCGUAGAUGGAUGUUUAAGUCAGUUGUGAAAGUUUGCGGCUCAACCGUAAAAUUGCAGUUGAUACUGGAUAUCUUGAGUGCAGUUGAGGCAGGCGGAAUUCGUGGUGUAGCGGUGAAAUGCUUAGAUAUCACGAAGAACUCCGAUUGCGAAGGCAGCCUGCUAAGCUGCAACUGACAUUGAGGCUCGAAAGUGUGGGUAUCAAACAGGAUUAGAUACCCUGGUAGUCCACACGGUAAACGAUGAAUACUCGCUGUUUGCGAUAUACGGCAAGCGGCCAAGCGAAAGCGUUAAGUAUUCCACCUGGGGAGUACGCCGGCAACGGUGAAACUCAAAGGAAUUGACGGGGGCCCGCACAAGCGGAGGAACAUGUGGUUUAAUUCGAUGAUACGCGAGGAACCUUACCCGGGCUUAAAUUGCAGAUGAAUUACGGUGAAAGCCGUAAGCCGCAAGGCAUCUGUGAAGGUGCUGCAUGGUUGUCGUCAGCUCGUGCCGUGAGGUGUCGGCUUAAGUGCCAUAACGAGCGCAACCCUUGUUGUCAGUUACUAACAGGUUCCGCUGAGGACUCUGACAAGACUGCCAUCGUAAGAUGUGAGGAAGGUGGGGAUGACGUCAAAUCAGCACGGCCCUUACGUCCGGGGCUACACACGUGUUACAAUGGGGGGUACAGAGGGCCGCUACCACGCGAGUGGAUGCCAAUCCCCAAAACCUCUCUCAGUUCGGACUGGAGUCUGCAACCCGACUCCACGAAGCUGGAUUCGCUAGUAAUCGCGCAUCAGCCACGGCGCGGUGAAUACGUUCCCGGGCCUUGUACACACCGCCCGUCAAGCCAUGGGAGCCGGGGGUACCUGAAGUGCGUAACCGCGAGGAGCGCCCUAGGGUAAAACUGGUGAC